UGGGGAAUUUUGGACAAUGGGCGAAAGCCUGAUCCAGCAAUGCCGCGUGUGUGAAGAAGGCCUUCGGGUUGUAAAGCACUUUUGUCCGGAAAGAAAUCCUUGGCUCUAAUACAGUCGGGGGAUGACGGUACCGGAAGAAUAAGCACCGGCUAACUACGUGCCAGCAGCCGCGGUAAUACGUAGGGUGCAAGCGUUAAUCGGAAUUACUGGGCGUAAAGCGUGCGCAGGCGGUUUGCUAAGACCGAUGUGAAAUCCCCGGGCUCAACCUGGGAACUGCAUUGGUGACUGGCAGGCUAGAGUAUGGCAGAGGGGGGUAGAAUUCCACGUGUAGCAGUGAAAUGCGUAGAGAUGUGGAGGAAUACCGAUGGCGAAGGCAGCCCCCUGGGCCAAUACUGACGCUCAUGCACGAAAAGCGUGGGGAGCAAACAGGAUUAGAUACCCUGGUAGUCCACGCCCUAAACGAUGUCAACUAGUUGUUGGGGAUUCAUUUCCUUAGUAACGUAGCUAACGCGUGAAGUUGACCGCCUGGGGAGUACGGUCGCAAGAUUAGAACUCAAAUGAAUUGACGGGGUCAUAGCUGUUUCCU
rnacentral:rRNA from 1 species